rnacentral:lncRNA from 1 species
AUGGGGUCCAGCAUGGGGUCCAGCAUCAGGACCAGCAUGGGGUCCAGCAUCAGGACCAGCAUGGGGUCCAGCAUCAGGACCAGCAUCAGGACCAGCAUCGGGUCCAGCAUCGGGUCCAGCAUCAGGACCAGCAUCAGGACCAGUAUCAGAACCAGCAUCAGGUCCAGCAUAAGGAAUCAGGACCAGUAUCAGGUCCAACAUCAGGAAUCAGGACCAGCAUGGGGUCCAGCAUCAGGACCAGCAUGGGGUCCAGCAUCAGGUCCAGCAUCAGGAAUCAGGACCAGCAUCAGGACCAACAUCAGGUCCAGCAUCAGGACCAGCAUCGGGUCCAGCAUCAGGACUAGAAUCAGGAAUCAGGACCAGUAUCAGGUCCAACAUCAGGAAUCAGGACCAGCAUGGGGUCCAGCAUGGGGUCCAGCAUCAGGACCAGCAUGGGGUCCAGCACCAGGACCAGCAUGGGGUCAGCAUCAGGACCAGCAUCAGGACCAGUAUCAGGACCAGCAUCAGGUCCAGCAUAAGGAAUCAGGACCAGUAUCAGGUCCAACAUCAGGAAUCAGGACCAGCAUGGGGUCCAGCAUCAGGACCAGCAUAGUGUCCAGCAUCAGGACCAGCAUGGGGUCCAGCAUCAGGACCAGCAUCAGGUCCAGCAACAGGAAUCAGGCCCAGUAUCAGGUCCAACAUCAGGAAUCAGGACCAUCAUGGGGUCCAGCAUGGGGUCCAGCAUCAGGUCCAGCAUCAGGAAUCAGGACCAGCAUCAGGACCAGCAUCAGGAAUCAGGACCAGCAUCAGGACCAGCAUCAGGUCCAGCAUCAGGACCAGUAUCGGGUCCAGCAUCAGGACCAGUAUCAGGUCCAGCAUCAGGACAAGCAUCAGGACAAGCAUCAGGACCAGCAUCAGGUCCAGCAUCAGGACCAGCAUCAGGUCCAGCAUCAGGACCAGCAUCAGGACCAGCGUCAGGUCCAGCAUCAGGAAUCAGGACCAGCAUCAGGUCCAGCAUCAGGAAUCAGGACCAGCAUCGGGACCAGCAUCAGGUCCAGCAUCAGGACCAGCAUCAGGUCCAGCAACAGGUCCAGCAUAAAGACCAGCAUCAGGAAUCAGGACCAGCAUCAGGAAUCAGGACCAGCAUCAGGAAUCAGGACCAGCAUCAGGUCCAGCAUCAGGACCAGCAUCAGGACCAGCAUCGGGUCCAGCAUCAGGUCCAGCAUCAGGACCAGCAUCAGGUCCAGCAUCAGGUCCAGAAUCAGGUCCAGCAUCAGGAAUCAGGUCCAGCAUCAGGUCCAGCAUCAGGAAUCAGGACCAGCAUCAGGUCCAGCAUCAGGAAUCAGGACCAGCAUCAGGUCCAGCAUCAGGUCCAACAUCAAGACCAGCAUCGGGUCCAGCAUCAGGACCAGCAUCAGGACCAGCAUCAGGUCCAGCAUAAGGAAUCAGGACCAGCAUCGGGUCCAGCAUCAGGACCAGCAUCGGGUCCAGCAUCAGGAAUCAGGACCAGCAUCGGGUCCAGCAUCAGGACCAGCAUCGGCUCCAGCAUCAGGAAUCAGGACCAGCAUCGGGUCCAGCAUCAGGAAUCAGGACCAGCAUCAGGUCCAGCCUCAGGACCAACAUCGGGUCCAGCAUCAGGUCCAGCAUCAGGGCCAGCAUCAGGUCCAGCAUCAGGUCCAGAAUCAGGUCCAGCAUCAGGAAUCAGGUCCAGCAUCAGGUCCAGCAUCAGGUCCAGCAUCAGGAAUCAAGACCAGCAUCAGGUCCAGCAUCAGGAAUCAGGACCAGCAUCAGGACCAGCAUCAGGUCCAGCAUCAGGUCCAACAUCAGGUCCAACAUCAGGACCAGCAUCAGGACCAGCAUCAGGUCCAGCAUAAGGAAACAGGACCAGCAUCGGGUCCAGCAUCAGGACCAGUAUCAGGACCAGCAUCAGGUCCAGCAUCAAGACCAGCAUCAGGUCCAGCAUCAGGUCCAGCAUCAGGUCCAGCAUCAGGUCCAGUAUCAGGUCCAGCAUCAGGACCAGUAUCAGGUCCAGCAUCAGGUCCAGCAUCAGGUCCAGCAUCGGGUCCAGCACCAGGACCAGCAUCAGGUCCAGCAUCAAGACCAGCAUCGGGUCCAGCAUCAGGACCAGCAUCAGGACCAACAUCAGGUCCAGCAUCAAGACCAGCAUCAGGUCCAGCAUCAGGUCCAGCAUCGGGUCCAGCAUCAGGACCAGCAUCAGGAAUCAGGACCAGCAUCGGGUCCAGCAUCGGGUCCAGCAUCGGGUCCAGCAUCGGGUCCAGCAUCAGGACCAGCAUCGGGUCCAGCAUCAGGAAUCAGGACCAGCAUCGGGUCCAGCAUCAGGAAUCAGGACCAGCAUCAGGUCCAGCCUCAGGACCAGCAUCAGGUCCAGCAUCAGGACCAGCAUCGGGUCCAGCAUCAGGUCGAGCAUCGGGUCCAGCAUCAGGUCCAGCAUCAUGGCCAGCAUCAGGUCCAGCAUCAGGUCCAGAAUCAGGUCCAGCAUCAGGAAUCAGGACCAGCAUCAGGACCAGCAUCAGGUCCCGCAUCAGGUCCAACAUCAGGUCCAACAUCAGGACCAGCAUCAGGUCCAGCAUAAGGAAUCAGGACCAGCAUCAGGUCCAGCAUCAGGACCAGUAUCAGGACCAGCAUCAGGUCCAGCAUCAAGACCAGCAUCAGGUCCAGCAUCAGGUCCAGCAUCAGGUCCAGCAUCGGGUCCAGCAUCAGGACCAGUAUCAGGUCCAGCAUCAGGACCAGCAAAGGGUCCAGCAUCAGGACCAGCAUCAGGUCCCGCAUCAGGUCCAACAUCAGGUCCAACAUCAGGACCAGCAUCAGGUCCAGCAUAAGGAAUCAGGACCAGCAUCAGGUCCAGCAUCAGGACCAGUAUCAGGACCAGCAUCAGGUCCAGCAUCAAGACCAGCAUCAGGUCCAGCAUCAGGUCCAGCAUCAGGUCCAGCAUCGGGUCCAGCAUCAGGUCCAGCAUCAGGUCCAGCAUCGGGUCCAGCAUCAGGACCAGCAUCAGGACCAGCAUCAGGUCCAGCAUCAAGACCAGCAUCAAGACCAGUAUCAGGUCCAGCAUCGGGUCCAGCAUCGGGUCCAGCAUCAGGAAUCAGGACCAGCAUCGUGUCCAGCAUCGGGUCCCGCAUCAGGACCAGCAUCGGGUCCAGCAUCAGGAAUCAGGACCAGCAUCGGGUCCAGCAUAAGGAAUCAGGACCAGCAUCGGGUCCAGCAUCAGGACCAGUAUCAGGUCCAGCAUCAGGACCAGCAAAGGGUCCAGCAUCAGGACCAGCAUCAGGACCAGCAUCAGGUCCAGCAUCAGGUCCAGCAUCAGGUCCAGCAUCGGAUCCAGCAUCAGGACCAGCAUCAGGAAUCAGGACCAGCAUCGGGUCCAGCAUCGGGUCUAGCAUCAGGACCAGCAUCGGGUCCAGCAUCAGGAAUCAGGACCAGCAUCGGGUCCAGCAUCGGGUCCAGCAUCAGGAAUCAGGACCAGCAUCGGGUCCAGCAUCAGGACCAGCAUCGGGUCCAGCAUCAGGAAUCAGGACCAGCAUCGGGUCCAGCAUCAGGACCAGCAUCGGGUCCAGCAUCAGGAAUCAGGACCAGCAUCGGGUCCAGCAUCAGGACCAGCAUCGGGUCCAGCAUCAGGAAUCAGGACCAGCAUCGGGUCCAGUAUCAGGAAUCAGGACCAGCAUCAGGUCCAGCAUCAGGACCAGCAUCAGGACCAGCAUCAGGACCAGUAUCAGGACCAGCAUCAGGUCCAGCAUAAGGAAUCAGGACCAGUAUCAGGUCCAACAUCAGGAAUCAGGACCAGCAUGGGGUCCAGCAUGGGGUCCAGCAUCAGGACCAGCAUGGGGUCCAGCAUCAGAACCAGCAUGGGGUCCAGCAUCAGGACCAGCAUCAGGUCCAGCAACAGGAAUCAGGCCCAGUAUCAGGUCCAACACCAGGAAUCAGGACCAGCAUGGGGUCCAGCAUGGGGUCCAGCAUCAGGACCAGCAUGGGGUCUUGCAUCAGGACCAGCAUAAGGUCCAGCAUCAGGACCAGCAUCGGGUCCAGCAUCAGGACCAGCAUCAGGUCCAGCAUCAGGUCCAGCAUCAAGAAUCAGGACCAGCAUCAGGACCAGCAUCAGGUCCAGCAUCAGGACCAGUAUCAGGUCCAACAUCAGGACCAGCAUCAGGACCAGCAUCAGGACCAGUAUCAGGACCAGCAUCAGGUCCAGCAUAA